GAUCCAUGGCUCAGGAUGAACGCUAGCUACAGGCUUAACACAUGCAAGUCGAGGGGCAUCACAGUGUAGCAAUACACGGGUGGCGACCGGCGCACGGGUGCGUAACACGUAUCCAAUCUGCCCGUUACUCGGGGAUAGCCUUCUGAAAGGAAGAUUAAUACCCGAUGGGAUGCAUUUCCGGCAUCGGAGAUGCAUUAAAGAUUUAUCGGUGACGGAUGAGGAUGCGUACGAUUAGCUUGUUGGCGGGGUAACGGCCCACCAAGGCAACGAUCGUUAGGGGUUCUGAGAGGAAGGUCCCCCACACUGGAACUGAGACACGGUCCAGACUCCUACGGGAGGCAGCAGUGAGGAAUAUUGGUCAAUGGGCGGGAGCCUGAACCAGCCAAGUAGCGUGAAGGAUGACUGCCCUACGGGUUGUAAACUUCUUUUGUUUGGGAAUAAAAGACGCUACGUGUAGCGUUCUGCAUGUACCUUACGAAUAAGCAUCGGCUAAUUCCGUG
rnacentral:rRNA from 1 species